rnacentral:rRNA from 1 species
AGAGUUUGAUUACGGCUCAGGAUGAACGCUAGCGACAGGCUUAACACAUGCAAGUCGAGGGGCAGCGGGGGAGUAGCAAUACUCCCGCCGGCGACCGGCGCACGGGUGAGUAACACGUAUGAAACCUGCCCGUAGCAGGGGGAUAAGCGGAAGAAAUUCCGUCUAAUACCGCGUAACAACCCUUGGAGGCAUCUCCUCGGGUUUAAAGGGAGCGAUUCCGGCUACGGAUGGUCAUGCGUCGCAUUAGCUUGUUGGCGGGGUAACGGCCCACCAAGGCGACGAUGCGUAGGGGUUCUGAGAGGAAGGUCCCCCACACUGGUACUGAGACACGGACCAGACUCCUACGGGAGGCAGCAGUGAGGAAUAUUGGUCAAUGGCCGCAGGGCUGAACCAGCCAAGUCGCGUGAGGGAUGACGGUCCUAUGGAUUGUAAACCUCUUUUGUCAGGGAGCAAAGGGCGCCACGUGUGGCGUUUUGCGAGUACCUGAAGAAAAAGCGUCGGCUAACUCCGUGCCAG